rnacentral:tRNA from 1 species
GGGGAAUUAGCUCAGUUGGGAGAGCGCCGGCUUUGCAAGCCGGAGGUCACCGGUUCGAGCCCGGUAUUCUCCACCA